UCGGCUGUUGCCUGUAGUCCGUGGCCGCGUUGACGCAUCAGGACACGCAUACGUCCUCCUAGAGGGUAGCGGAUGCGUAGACUCAAUGAGCUCCAUGCCUGGGAGCUGCCAACCAACCUUUUUUCUCAUUAAUUUUUUUAUGAAUAAGACAUAUAUCAGUCUUACCGGUGGAUCACUCGGUUCGUGGAUCGAUGAAGAACGCAGCAAACUGCGAUAAGUAGCGUGAAUUGCAGACGCUUUGAACGUUAAACUUUCGAACGCACAUUGCGCCGUAGGAGUCCUACCCUACGGCACAUCUGGUUGAGGGUCGUGAUCAAAAACCGCUGGCCUGUUGCGGUAAUAGAAGUAGCUGGUGGAUCACGAGUUCGGCCUACCGCCUCUGGUCGAACGUGUUCUGCCAUAAUGCUAUAGAGGACGGCCCUUAGUGGCUGCCUACCACACGGAUGAUCUAUUAGUCGAUGCAAUAGAUCCCGGUCCAAGGGUAUCAUAUGCCAUAUAUACUCGAGGAUGCAGGGAUACGGCUAGUAGCUUCGUACGUGCCUGGUUAUGAGAGUUUUCGCUCUCCCGACCUCAACUCAGGUGUGAUUACCCGCUGAACUUAAGCAUAUCAAUAAGCGGAGGAAC
rnacentral:rRNA from 1 species